GAUGAACGCUGGCGGCGUGCCUAAUACAUGCAAGUCGAGCGAACGGACGAGAAGCUUGCUUCUCUGAUGUUAGCGGCGGACGGGUGAGUAACACGUGGAUAACCUACCUAUAAGACUGGGAUAACUUCGGGAAACCAGAGCUAAUACCGGAUAAUAUUUUGAACCGCAUGGUUCAAAAGUGAAAGACGGUCUUGCUGUCACUUAUAGAUGGAUCCGCGCUGCAUUAGCUAGUUGGUAAGGUAACGGCUUACCAAGGCAACGAUGCAUAGCCGACCUGAGAGGGUGAUCGGCCACACUGGAACUGAGACACGGUCCAGACUCCUACGGGAGGCAGCAGUAGGGAAUCUUCCGCAAUGGGCGAAAGCCUGACGGAGCAACGCCGCGUGAGUGAUGAAGGUCUUCGGAUCGUAAAACUCUGUUAUUAGGGAAGAACAUAUGUGUAAGUAACUGUGCACAUCUUGACGGUACCUAAUCAGAAAGCCACGGCUAACUACGUG
rnacentral:rRNA from 1 species